UUUUCCGCCUUGUUUUGGGCAGAAGUUAUAAUGGUGGAGUAGAGACAGUCGUUUUAUGAUGCUGGGAAUAGAGGGGGAUUAUUUUAUGAGUUUCAUUGAAAUAAGACUAUAAAUUAAACGCAACCUCUAGACCCAAAUCAUGUUAUCUGUUCGCAGGGGCACCUACUAAUCAAGUGCUCGAUAUUAUUUCAUGGUGAUUUUUUUCUUUUUUCCUUCCCUCCUUUUGCUAGAAGCACUUCGCGCGUAAAGAACAUCACCGGUUCCCAAAUUCUCCGUGUUCUGCAGCUGCGAAUAGCGCUCCGUAAUUGGCGGAGAGCACAUCAAUCCUGCGUUUAGCCGCACCCCUCCCCCCAUUCAGCCAGUCUGGUGGCUGUUCCUGUGUGUUUACUACACGGACCAGGCAGCAGCAGACACUUGGCUUCACAUGCACCUAACUCACAACAGCUAGCUAGCUAAACACUUUAUAGUUCCAUCUGAAAGAGAAUCUCCAAGAAUCCAACAUGCCCAAGAGAAAGGGAGCCGCUGGGGACGCCAAGGAGGAGCCCCAGAGGAGAUCCGCCCGGUUAUCAGCGGUGAGACCAGCUACGAUACAGACAUUAUAUACUACCUUAUGACGCAUCAUAUAACCUACACACCAGUUUUGACACAUUUAUAACCUCUUAUUGCAGCUUAAAGCACAUUUAUAGACUAUAAUUAAGAGUACAACACAUCAAAUACCAAUAUACCACCUUAUAACACAUCAUACAACCACUAUAUGACAAAUAAAACACAACCUCAGCUACAAUCAGCAUACAAUCAUUACACAUGUAUUACUAUAUAUACACCAGGUAAUUACACACGUAUUGUCUCUAUAUAUACAGCAGGUAAUUACACACGUAUUGUCUCUAUAUAAACAGCGGGUAAUUACACACGUAUUGUCUCUAUAUAAACAGCAGAUAAUUACACACGUAUUGUCUCUAUAUAAACAGCAGGUAAUUACACAUGUAUUGUCUAUAUACAGCAGGUAAUUACACAUGUAUUGUCUCUAUAUAAACAGCAGGUAAUUACACAUGUAUUGUCUCUAUAUAUACAGUAGGUAAUUACACACGUAUUGUCUCUAUAUAAACAGCAGGUAAUUUCACAUGUAUUGUCUCUAUAUAUACAGCAGGUAAUUACACACGUAUUAGCAGGUAAAUACACAUGUAUUGUCUCUAUAUAUACAGUAGGUAAUUACACACGUAUUGUCUCUAUAUAAACAGCAGGUAAUUUCACAUGUAUUGUCUCUAUAUAUACAGUAGGUAAUUACACAUGUAUUGUCUCUAUAUAUACAGUAGGUAAUUACACAUGUAUUGUCUCUAUAUAUACAGCAGGUAAUUACACAUGUAUUGUCUCUAUAUAAACAGCAGGUAAUUACACACGUAUUGUCUCUAUAUAAACAGCAGGUAAUUUCACAUGUAUUGUCUCUGUAUACACAGCAGGUAAUUACACACGUAUUGUCUCUAUAUAAACAGCAGGUAAUUACACACGUAUUGUCUCUAUAUAAACAGCAGGUAAUUUCACAUGUAUUGUCUCUGUAUACACAGCAGGUAAUUACACACGUAUUGUCUCUAUAUAAACAGCAGGUAAUUACACAUGUAUUGUCUAUAUAUACAGCAGGUAAUUACACAUGUAUUGUCUCUGUAUACACAGCAGGUAAUUACACACUUAUUGUCUCUAUAUAAACAGCAGGUAAUUACACAUGUAUUGUCUAUAUAUACCGCAGGUAAUUACACAUGUAUUGUCUAUAUAUACAGCAGGUAAUUACACAUGUAUUGUCUCUAUAUAUACAGCAGGUAAUUACACAUGUAUUGUCUCUAUAUAUACAGCAGGUAAUUACACAUUGUCUCUAUAUAUACAGCAGGUAAUUACACAUGUAUUGUCUCUGUAUAUGCAGCAGGUAAUUACACAUUGUCUCUAUACAGCAAGUAAUUACACAUGUAUUGUCUCUAUAUAUACAGCAGGUAAUUACACACGUAUUGUCUCUAUAUAUAAAGCAGGUAAUUACACAUGUAUUGUCUCUAUAUAUACAGCAGGUAAUUACACAUUGUCUCUAUAUAUACAGCAGGUAAUUACACAUGUAUUGUCUCUAUAUAUACAGCAAGUAAUUACACAUGUAUUGUCUCUAUAUACAGCAGGUAAUUACACAUGUAUUGUCUCUGUAUAUGCAGCAGGUAAUUACACAUUGUCUCUAUAUAGCAAGUAAUUACACAUGUAUUGUCUCUAUAUAGCAGGUAAUUAAAGAUUAUAACACCUUUAUAACCUCUGCUACAAUACUACAGUAUUCCACAUACACCAUACACUACACUUAUCACUAUACACAGCCAAUUACACAUGUAUUACAUAUUUAGCAGGUUACAUAACUCUUAACCAGUUUAUAAAUCAUGCAACCAGUUAGUAAAGUCCCACUGAAGCCCUAGCAUCUAUUGGUCAGUAGAUCUGAAGCCCUAGCAUCUAUUGGUCAGUAGAUCUGAAGCCCUAGCAUCUAUUGGUCAGUAGAUCUGAA
ensembl:lncRNA